rnacentral:rRNA from 1 species
GAUGAACGCUGGCGGCGUGCCUAAUACAUGCAAGUCGAGCGGACGGACGAGAAGCUUGCGUUUCUGAUGUUAGCGGCGGACGGGUGAGUAACACGUGUAUAACCUACCUAUAAGACUGGGAUAACUUCGGGAAACCGGAGCUAAUAGCGGAUAAGAUUUUGAACCGCAGGGUUCAAAAGUGAAAGACGGUGGUGCGGGCACGAAUAGAGGCAUCCGGGCUGCUUUAGCUGGUUGUUGAGGUAACGGCUUACCAAGGCAAGGAUGCAUAGCCGACCUGAGAGGGUGAUCGGCCACACUGGAACGUAGACACGGUCCAGACUCCUACGGGAGGCAGCAGUAGGCAAUCGUCCGCAAUGGGCGAAAGCCUGACGGAGCAACGCCGCGUGAGUGAUGACGGUCUUCGGAUCGUAAAACUCUGUUAUUAGUGAAGAACAUAUGUGUCAGUAACUGUGCACAUCUUGACGGUACCUGAUCAGAAAGCCACGGCUAACUACGUG